rnacentral:rRNA from 1 species
UACGGGGGGGGUAAGCGUUGUUCGGAAUUACUGGGCGUAAAGGGCUCGUAGGCGGCCAACUAAGUCGGACGUGAAAUCCCUCAGCUUAACUGGGGAACUGCGUCCGAUACUGGAUGGCUUGAAUCCGGGAGAGGGAUGCAGAAUUCCAGGUGUAGCGGUGAAAUGCGUAGAUAUCUGGAGGAAUACCGGUGGCGAAGGCGGCAUCCUGGACCGGCAUUGACGCUGAGGAGCGAAAGCUAGGGGAGCAACGGG